rnacentral:rRNA from 1 species
CCUGCAAGUCGAACGGAAAGGUCUCUCUCSGAGAUACUCGAGUGGCGAACGGGUGAGUAACACGUGGGUGAUCUGCCCUGCACUUCGGGAUAAGCYUGGGAAACUGGGUCUAAUACCGGAUAUGACCGUGASAUGCAUGUCUUGUGGUGGAAAGCUUUUGCGGUGUGGGAUGGGCCCGCGGCCUAUCAGCUUGUUGGUGGGGUGAUGGCCUACCAAGGCGACRACGGGUAGCCGGCCUGAGAGGGUGUCCGGCCACMCUGGGACUGAGAUACGGCCCAGACUCCUACGGGAGGCAGCAGUGGGGAAUAUUGCACAAUGGGCGCAAGCCUGAUGCAGCGACGCCGCGUGGGGGAUGACGGCCUUCGGGUUGUAAACCUCUUUCACCAUCGRCGAAGCCUU